rnacentral:rRNA from 1 species
GAUGAACGCGGCGGCGUGCUUAACACAUGCAAGUCGAACGAUGAAGCCCAGCUUGCUGGGUGGAUUAGUGGCGAACGGGUGAGUAACACGUGAGUAACCUGCCCUUGACUCUGGGAUAAGCCCGGGAAACUGGGUCUAAUACCGGAUAGGAGCGCCUGUCGCAUGACGGGUGUUGGAAAGAUUUUUCGGUCAUGGAUGGACUCGCGGCCUAUCAGCUUGUUGGUGAGGUAAUGGCUCACCAAGGCGACGACGGGUAGCCGGCCUGAGAGGGUGACCGGCCACACUGGGACUGAGACACGGCCCAGACUCCUACGGGAGGCAGCAGUGGGGAAUAUUGCACAAUGGGCGGAAGCCUGAUGCAGCGACGCCGCGUGAGGGAUGACGGCCUUCGGGUUGUAAACCUCUUUCAGUAGGGAAGAAGCGAAAGUGACGUACCUGCAGAAGAGCCC